GUUGGCCCAUUGAUUGAUGGUGCUUGCACCUGAUUGAUUUUCGUUGCCAACGAGUGGCGGACGGGUGAGUAACACGUAGGUAACCUGCCCAGAAGCGGGGGACAACAUUUGGAAACAGAUGCUAAUACCGCAUAACAGCGUUGUUCGCAUGAACAACGCUUAAAAGAUGGCUUCUCGCUAUCACUUCUGGAUGGACCUGCGGUGCAUUAGCUUGUUGGUGGGGUAACGGCCUACCAAGGCGAUGAUGCAUAGCCGAGUUGAGAGACUGAUCGGCCACAAUGGGACUGAGACACGGCCCAUACUCCUACGGGAGGCAGCAGUAGGGAAUCUUCCACAAUGGGCGCAAGCCUGAUGGAGCAACACCGCGUGAGUGAAGAAGGGUUUCGGCUCGUAAAGCUCUGUUGUUAAAGAAGAACACGUAUGAGAGUAACUGUUCAUACGUUGACGGUAUUUAACCAGAAAGUCACGGCUAACUACGUGCCAGCAGCCGCGGUAAUACGUAGGUGGCAAGCGUUAUCCGGAUUUAUUGGGCGUAAAGAGAGUGCAGGCGGUUUUCUAAGUCUGAUGUGAAAGCCUUCGGCUUAACCGGAGAAGUGCAUCGGAAACUGGAUAACUUGAGUGCAGAAGAGGGUAGUGGAACUCCAUGUGUAGCGGUGGAAUGCGUAGAUAUAUGGAAGAACACCAGUGGCGAAGGCGGCUACCUGGUCUGCAACUGACGCUGAGACUCGAAAGCAUGGGUAGCGGACAGGAUUAGAUACCCUGGUAGUCCAUGCCGUAAACGAUGAGUGCUAGGUGUUGGAG
rnacentral:rRNA from 1 species